rnacentral:lncRNA from 1 species
GGACCUCAGUCAGAUCUUCCAGACAUUGAUGAAGAUUAUGGCGUAAAAUCUGAUGAUGAGACUGUAAGUGAUUUUUUGUGCUAGUCUGUUCAAUCUUGUUGAGUACUUGUGAGUCUGAUGUAAUCUAUCCACUCUUCGGACAAUAGAAUAUUUAUAUCACUGCCAUACCAUUUACUAGCUGCUUUAGACCCUGGAUAUUACUUGUGGGAGGUUAUACUAUACAUUUUGAUUAUCAUUGCCAUGGAAGAAUAUGUGUACUGA